rnacentral:tRNA from 1 species
CAAGAAGUAGUUUAAUCAGAAUAUCAGCUUUGGGUGUUGAUGGUAGGGAGAUGUUCCUUCUUCUUGA